rnacentral:rRNA from 1 species
CGGAGGGUGCAAGCGUUAUCCGGAUUCACUGGGUUUAAAGGGUGCGUAGGAGGGCAGGUAAGUCAGUGGUGAAAUCUCCAAGCUUAACUUGGAAACUGCCGUUGAUACUAUCUGUCUUGAAUAUUGUGGAGGUGAGCAAAAUAUGUCAUGUAGCGGUAGAAAUGCUUAGAUAUGACAUAGAACACCAAUUGCAAAGGCAGCUCACUACUCAAUCAUUGACUCUGAGGCACGAAAACACAAAAAUCAAACAGGAUUAGAUACCCUGGUAGUCCACGCCCUAAACUAUGGAUACUCGACAUACGCGAUAUACAGUGUGUGUCUGAGCAAAAGCAUUAAGUAUCCCACCUGGGAAGUACGACCGCAAGGUUG